ACGAACCGUACGAACGUUAUUCGGAAUCACUGGGCUUAAAGCGUGCGUAGGCGGCCUAGCAAGUUGGGUGUGAAAGCCCUCGGCUCAACCGAGGAAUUGCGCCCAAAACUGCUAGACUUGAGGAAGAUAGAGGUGAGCGGAACUGAUGGUGGAGCGGUGAAAUGCGUUGAUAUCAUUAGGAACACCGGUGGCGAAAGCGGCUCACUGGGUCUUUUCUGACGCUGAGGUACGAAAGCUAGGGGAGCGAACGGG
rnacentral:rRNA from 1 species